rnacentral:lncRNA from 1 species
CCUGCUGUUGGCGGGGCCCCAGCCCUGGGGUCAGCUCACCUGGCCCAGGGCCAUCUGCGUGAGGCAGCAUGCUAGGCACACUGGGGCCCCAGAGGGCAGCUGCCCUCAUUUGGGACUCCAGGGCCUGCCGUUCGUUCCCUUCUGUCCUGUCCUGUCCUGAACAAGCAGUGGGAGGCCUUGACCGCCGCAGCUUGAGCUACGCUGGGCAGCCCAGAGCUCACCCUCCCAAGCUGGGGCUCAGCACAUGGCCCCCAUCCUAGAGUGGCCUGGGAUGGCUGCAGGGAGGGUAGACGUCAUACGGCCCUGGACAAGGGGCUCAGGGACAAGGGGCUCAGGGACGCUGUUAUUUGGGCCUGACCCAGAACGGGUCCUUUGCUGGGGUCUUUGAGGAGGGGCCCCACACGGAGCUCUCUCUUUCGGGUGCCCUGUCCCUGGGUCUCAGGACCAGGUCCCUGGGCAGCAGGAGCACCACGGGCAAGAGCCUGGACCCGGAUUCCUGCCAGGGAAGGCUGCCAGGCCCAGCCAC